CGCCGCCGCCGCAGCCUGGCCCGGCCCUCCCCGACUGCGCGAGCGCGACACCGGGGGCCUUUUACGACAGUUCGGAAAGCAAGCGCGCCGGACCUUCACGCCCUCUCACGUCGGUUAGUACAGCUCAUGGUCUCCAAUGUGGGACAGUGUUGAACUGGGAAAUGGUGCCAUCUACUGAAGCAACGUUCCAGAAGCAUCCUAACAACCAGUUCAUUUUGAAGAACAUGAGUCAAAGAUAGAAGACUGUCCACAUGUGUUUGUCAUACCCAACGUCACCCUGACGAAGGAAUUAAAAAGGUACCAACCUAACUCAAGGAAAUGGGACCAAGCCAUUAGCCAGCCAGUCCUCUCAAAUGUCUGGAAGGGAAAUCAGAGAACUGGGCCAGCUCUCGUUGAGGUGAAUCUCUGACAGCUUCAACUGUACUACCUGGAUUAUGAAGUCUCCUAGGCCAUAGUAAAAAUGAGGCUGGAGGAUCGCCCAUGCAACUGUACUACCUGGAUUAUGAAGUCUCCUAGGCCACAGUAAAAAUGAGGCUGGAGGAUCGCCCAUGCAACUGUACUACCUGGAUUAUGAAGUCUCCUAGGCCAUAGUAAAAAUGAGGCUGGAGGAUCGCCCAUGCAACUGUACUACCUGGAUUAUGAAGUCUCCUAGGCCACAGUAAAAAUGAGGCUGGAGGAUCGCCCAUGCAACUGUACUACCUGGAUUAUGAAGUCUCCUAGGCCAUAGUAAAAAUGAGGCUGGAGGAUCGCCCAUGCAACUGUACUACCUGGAUUAUGAAGUCUCCUAGGCCAUAGUAAAAAUGAGGCUGGAGGAUCGCCCAUGCAGCUUUUAAGGACCAGACAUGAAAAUCGCUUACAUCAGUUCCACCCACAUCCCAUCAGCCAAACUGCUAGGGAGGUUUCAGCCUAAGUGCCUCAGCACCAGGGAGAAGAACACACAUAUUUCCCUGCAGCUUCACUUUCCCUGCAGCUCUCCAUAGGCUGUGAAUGUAUAGCUCAAUAUGUCUGGCAGAAGGCCCUGAACUCAGUCUCCAGCACCACAAAAAGGUAAAAAACAAAUGAAUGUAAGGUUAGUGAUGGACAACAGAGAAGCAUCCCUCAUCCCUAAUAUGUGGCAGAUACAGGAAAAAAGAAAACGUGGAUGGAAGGAGAGGCCUCCUCAAAUUCUCACACAGAGAUAAUUCAUAAUCUCCAGACACCUAUCCAGAGAAGAAACAUUGUCACCCUCCUUUCCUUUAAUGCAGUAGUAACACAUAUGUAUUGUUCCUUUGUAAACUAGGCUGACACCCAUAGCAGGGGCACUUACAGUGGGACAGCUGCUAACCAGUGUGACCGACUUCUGCCUGGGUGAGGACCAUGAAUCAGAUGGAUUUAUUAUGAACCUGUUUUUCCAGUUGUAAAUGUUACUCUAAUUAUGUGGUUUAAUUAUCUAUUACUCACGUCUAAGAAAUAUAAGUUCCAAAAUUCAAAGAAAAGUCUUCACCGCUUUGAAGAGCCACAGCUAGGCCUGCUUCACAGAAACUUCAGGCAGGCUCACUGAAGCCUUGGGAACAGGACAGCUGUGGAAGUAUGGCCGUGGAAGGGCCGGCUCACCCUGCAGCUGUGCCUGCCUCACCUUGCCCCACUCCAGCUUUGAAGUAAAAUCAAAGGCAACGGCUGACCUGCCGUUCUGGUGCUCCUGGCCUGGAGAGUAUUCAUUUCCUUGGACAACUUGGUUUCCUGACCACCAUGAAGAAUAAAGUUUUGGUAGCAUGAGUGAGGCCUGAAUUUGAUCAAGAGCAAGAGAGAUCGACAGCAAGAGUGAAAGAGAGAUUGAUUAUUCUUAGACUUUGCGUCCCAUAUAAAAUCCAAAUGAAUUCCUCUAAUCAUACUACAAAUAAAGAGGU